UUUUUUUUUGUGUGUGCGCGCUCGCGUGCGUGCAUGCAUGCGCAGUAGUCCCGGGUAAUUCGAAGGAUGCAUCCAAUCCGAAGCGUGAGUAACUCAAACUUAGCAAAUCGUUUGGUUUGGGAUGAUUAUAAAAUUCAAAUAUACGAAAAAAUAAGUUAUUGUUAUAAUACAUUUGAUGAUAAAAUAAGUUAUAAACAAAAUAAAUGAUAUAUGCAUAAUUUUUUGAAGAAAAUGAAUGGUCAUGAUGAUAAAAAUCUACAACGACGAAUAUUUUGAUACAAAUGUAGUAUAUAUAACGGUCGCACACUACUUAAAUCUAGAGUUACCUUGACAGCCCAAAACCACUCACGGAUACAGGUGCUAAACCACUAAGGUGAUGGUCCUCGGCAAGCAAACCGUCAAGUAGAAUCUGUAAAAGUAGGAUUAGAGUGUUAAAAAAACACGAUUUGCUUGGUGGCUGACCGUCAAACAUUAUUUACUUUGACUGUUGUUGGCCGUCAAGCCAACUAGAGCAAUGUUAAAAUUUCAACUGCACCUAGAACAUGUUCCAACUGCUAAGUAAUUAAAUUUCCACUCCCUCUGAUAAUUCAUAAAUGCAUAUAAUUUCCACUCCCUCUUAUAAGAAAACCGCUAUAUUUUUUUUUAAAAAAGAAGAAGACAAAAAGAGUACAUACCGAUAAUUCAUAAAUGAAUAUAUAGCUAGUACAGUUUUAUAUUAAUUUGUGUGUGAUCCGUGGGAUUAUUAUAGCUGUAUAGGUGUUUGAGGAAUCCGGAUUUUAGUCUACGGGCAAAAUGAACAAUUGAUGAAUUAAGAUCUCUGGUUCCGUCGUGGUGAGUUGAAACUACUCCCUCCAUAUUUAUUUAUAAGACGUACAUGUAUAUUAAAAUUUAAAGGUUGCAAUAUUUGUCCAAUAAUUUAACUAUUUAUUUUUAUUUUUAUAAUGUAAAUUUUAUAUGGUUGAAUUCGUAAUCAAAUAUAGUUUAUAAUGAUCAUAAAUUUAUAACCAUAAAUAAUAUGAUAUAAGAAAUGAUUAUAAGAUAAAUGAAUGUUUAAAGAGUUAUUUGGAAGACCGGCCAAAUCCUAGCAUGACUUAUAAACAUUAUAAACAUAGACAAGGGAGUAACAAACUAGCAGCAGAUUGGCAUGCGUGUAUUUCUGUUCCGCUAGAGCCUUUUCUUUUCUUUCGGUGUGCAGCGUUUAGCCGCAUUCACGUCCCUGCCUCAAGUCUGUGCCAUUUCUGAAUUGCUGCAGGAAUGUGGUGCUUCUGAAUUUCUGAACUCCUGUUCCAUCUGCUGCACAACUGCAAUCCCAACACAUCAUUGUAUGUUUUUACCCAGUAACUCAUCGCUGUUGCAGGUGUUGCACGUCUGGGCUCUUGGUUUUUGCGGCUCUCUGUCGGUGUACUGCACAUGCCGCAAGAGAAAAAUAAAUUACGGGUGUUCUGUUGUUCCCACGGUAUAGUCGGACCACCCUAUCCCCAGUGCAGAUUCACGGCACGUGCUUCACACAAACAAUGCGACAUUAGAGCAUCUUCAUCCUCAGCGGAUUAGUCAUCUUCCAUCACUAAUAUAUUUUCUUUCUCCCUUAAUGAUAACAUUUUUUUUUAACUAGUACUGCAUCAUAUUACUAAAACACCUCAUGCACAUGAAUAUGGCAGAUGAAUGAAUCCCCUUCAUUUGGGUAAGAGGGAUGUGUGUUUUGGUGAUGACUAAAUUUUUUUAUAAUAGAAAUCAAAUUGAUAAUCUAUCAGAGUACCUCUUAUAAAUUUUUAAUGUAGAAGGAUGAAUAAUCUGCUGAAGAUGCUUGUGCCAAACAAAGCAUUCCCUCUCCUUUCGAACAAAAUCUCCCGAAAUUACAUCAAAUCGGCCGUCGCCAAUCACUCGCGCCGAAACUCCCACGCCACGCAUGAGAGACCGCAAGGCUCCAAGCGAGCAUAUCUGCCGUCCCCAUCGGCAGAACACCCAUGACCUGCACAUCUUAUCUAACCCUGUCAGCUAGUACCACCCCACUAGCACUAACAGAGGAGAGGGAUUGCAUUGCAUGGUGCGCACCGGGGACACUUGGACCCCUAAACCAUCCUCCGUUCCCUCCGGAUAAUGCAACCACCGCGCGUUGAUCCUACUGCGUGAGAAGCCGCAAGGACCUCACGGAUGGUGGAUGAAAAAGGAUGGCCUCUCUGGCUCUCUCUCUCUCUCUCUACUCACAGGAACAGAGUGCCUCUGCGUCUCUCAUCCACUAGCCUCUCUCUCUCUUUAAUUGGACUCUUUUCUCCGCAAGAAAAAAAAAUAGUUUGAUUCUUUGAAAAAAUGUCAUGUAAGUUUUUGCUAGAUUUUGGAGCUGCAGAUCUAGUAUCUCAUUGGGGAAAUAUCUCUUUUCUAGGGCUGUUUGGCCUCAGGGUGAGGGGGUGUACGGUUCGAGGACUAAAGUUUAGUCCCUAUCAUAUCAAAUGUUUAUAUACUAAUUAUGAGUACUAAAUAUAGAUUAAUUAUAAAACCAAUUGCAUAAAUGAAAGUUAAUUCGCGAGAUGAAUCUAUUAAGCCUAAUUAGUUCAUGAUUUUACUAUGUGAUGCUACAGUAAAUAUGUGCUAAUCAUGGAUUAAUUAGGCUUAAUAGAUUCGUCUCGCGAAUUAGCCACAACUUAUGCAAUUAGUUUUAUAGUUAGUUCACGUUUAAUUCUUCUAAUUGGUAUUUAAACAUCCGACUAAAAAAUAAUUUUUUAUGGAUCCAAACACUGAUGGUAUGGCAACAUCAAACAGGAUUCAUUUCCUGAUACAUGAACAAGUGGUCACGCAUUUUUAUUGUAUUCUGGUUAUUUCUGCGUGUUUUUAAAUUAAACUGACAUGACGUAUCAUUGGUUUGUAUAACCAGCAAAUGGAAGGCGCAGAUUCUAACAGCGAAACAACAGCAGCCACGGAGCCUUAGAUUUUAACAGCAGUAAUAAAAGAACAAAUUUGUACAUCACAUUUGUUACGCGGCAGCCCACAGGAGAAUCAUGCAUGCUAAGUUCUUUUCUUUAAAAUAAAAUCAAAUGACUAGUUGAGAUCAAUGUGCCUGGUACAACCAUCACUAGUUAAGCAUAACCCUAAUCUAGGUUCACACUCCAGAUUUAGAUUCGGAUGCUACAGCUAUGCUAAUUAAUAAUCCCAACUCUGGUCUAUAACAUAUAAACUUCCAAGACACCAAAGUAUGUUUAGACUACCUGACGCCUGUUGGUAAUGUCGAGGCCCCAGGAGAACUACCUGACACCCUGGCCUGACAGUAUGUUAUGUAAGCCGGCACUUGUCUGUUUUUUGUUUCUUUUUUUCUUGGUUCUCUAUACAGUUAUUUGCUAUAUAAAACCUAUGGGCAAUGCCCAGAUAAAAGCGGCAUGCUACGCUUUUUCCUUGAGCUCGGCAGAUGGCACGAGCACCACAGCUUGGUUUUUCAUGUCACUCCCACCAUUAGCGCACCCCUCUGCUCCUAAUGACAGCAUGUUCUUCUUCAGCCUCUGCAGCCUACACUCGAGUCCACACAUCUCAUCGAUCACAUCCAGGAAAGGCUGAUAAUCCGAGGCCCCAGUAUCCACCAAAGGAGCAGCUUGCUCUUCAGCGCGGGCACCAGUAUCCAUCUGAGAAGCAGCUUCGUCUUCAGGGCAGGCAUCAGUAUCCAUCUGAGAAGCAGCUUGCUCUUCAGCACUGACUUCAUUGUUUGUUGGAUGGCUCAAAUCUGUCUGCAAACAAGACUUGCUUGUAGGUGACGUACUCUCCUGCAAACAUGUUGAGGAAACACAAUCAAUGCAAUGAAUCUGACAGAAGUAGAUCCUUUUUCAAGGCCCCUGCCACUCUAGAUUAGGUCUACAAAUUAGGCAAGAUAAACACAAUCAGCUUUGUGUAUAGUUUCUACCUUCACUUGGCCUGUUGGAGAAGAAGCUCCUUUAUUGUGUAGCCUCAGAGGGCUGCUAGUUGAUUCCAUCUUCCUCUUCUCAAGAUUCCGUUGCAAUCGUGUAGGCACAUUGAUAAUUUCAGACAAGGGAACAAAGCAUGAAUUGUCUCCUGAAUCAACCAUGCCUGAGAUAUCAGCUUUUUCUUCAUUUGUCCUCAAGUUAUUGGAGAGAGUAGCAAUCCGAUCAUUUCUUUCAGUCUGCAGGACAUAAGUGGCAUUAAAAGAAUUGUUCUGUUGAAUAUAAUAUCUGAAAGAUAAAAUGGAAGAAAUAUUUAAACCUGGUGAGAGCAAUAGAGGUUGCGUGGAAUACCCUUGCAAGAGGUUUAUAGGAUAACCUGCCUAUCCUAAUCUAUCUAGGCAUGGCAGGGAGCUGGCCUGGGCCUGGUGUGUUCCCAUACACGCACAUAGCACAUACAUAUCUAACACGCCCCCGCAGCCUGAACGUUCAGACUGGACCUGAACUUCGUGAACACCGAAGAAGGCAAGCCUUUGGUGAAGAUGUCGGCGUACUGAGAGCUCGUCGGAACAUGAAGAACACUGACAUCUUCGGUGGCAACGCGCUCAUGAACAAAGUGUAGAUCAAUCUCCACAUGUUUGAUGCGCUAAUGCUGAACGGGGUUCGAAGACAUGUAGACAGUGCUAACGUUAUCACAAUAAAUCAAGGCGGUACGGCGCAGAGGAACAUGCAGCUCAACAAGAAGUUGGUGCAACCAAGAAACCUCGGCAACGACAUUGGCAACCGUCCGAUACUCAGCCUCAGCACUCGAGCGAGAGACUCAAUAUGACGCUUGGAGGACCAGGAGAUCAGAUUGUCACCCAAAAACACGGCAUAGCCUAAAGUGGAUUUGUGGGUGUCCGAGCAGCCAGCCCAAUCAACAUCAGAAUAAACAAGCAGAUUAGACUGAGUAGAUGGUCGCAGAAGCAAGCCCAGGUGAAGAGUUCCACGCACAUACCGAAGAAUGUGCUUCAAAGCAGCAAGAUGCGGUUCUCGCGGGUCAUGCAUAUGGAGGCAGACCUGCUGAACAGCAUAGGCAAUGUCUGGACGUGUGAAGGUGAGGUACUGUAAAGCACCGGCAAGACUCCGAAAAUCAGUGCCAUUGACAAGAGGAGCACCUUCAGCAGCAGACAGCUUCGGAUUAGUAUCAACCGGGGUGGAACAAGGCUUGCAAUCGGUCAUACCAGCACGAUCCAGAAUCUCCAGCAUAAACAGGCGCUGGGACAACAGAAGAUCAUCACCAGAGCGCUGCACAUGCAUACCCAGAAAAUGAUGAAGCUCACCAAGAUCCUUCAUGGAGAGUUCCCGCUGCAAGGCAUCAGUAGUGCAGCGAAGUAGAGGUGUUGAGGACACCGUGAGAACUAUGUCAUCCACAUAAAGGAGGAGAUAGACAGUGUCGUCGCCACGGUGAUACACAAAGAGAGAAGUAUUAGUCUUCGCCUCCACAAAACCAAGCUGCAACAAGUGUGUGGCAAAAUGGCUGUACCAAGCGCAGGGUGCCUGCUUAAGUCCUUAAAGAGAUCGAUUAAGCCGAUACACGUGAUCAGGGAGAGCAGGAUCUUCAAAACCAGUAGGCUGAGCACAAUAAACUGCCUCUGAGAGUGUCCCAUGAAGAAAGGCAUUCUUCACAGCCAACUGAUGAAUCGGCUAGCUGCGAGAAGGCCAAGGAGAGCAUUGUACGGACGGUGGCGGGCUUCACUGAAAGUCUCAGAGAAGUCAAUCCCUAGGUGCUGGGUAAAACCUAGCAGCACCAAACACGCCUUGCAGCGCUCCAGAGAACCAUAUGCCUUGAACUUGUGCUUAAAGAUCCAUUUGCCGGUCACAACAUUGGCCCGAGCAGGACGGGGAAUGAGAUCCCACGUAUUGUUGGCCAAGAGCGCAUCAAAUUCCUCCUGCAUUGCCCGGCGCCAAUUUAGAUCAGCAAGGCCGCUCCGGUAGGUGCGAGGAAGCGGUGAUAGCGAGGUGGAGUGGAACAGCGUUGGGAAACGAAAUCCCAGCUUCCCGCGCGUGGUCAUGACAUGCUGAUUUGUCACAGGACGCACGGGAAGAGCACCGCGAGGGAGGGGAACCGGAGCAGAAGCUUGCGGGCCUUGGAGCGACGUCCGGAUCGGAGCAUGGAUAGACCUGGAGAGGCCGGCCGGAGCCGACGGGGCGCCCCCACUGGGCAGCAAGGCUGGCAGGGGCUGAAGACGUGCUAACCGCAGCAGCAGUUGAAAGAACACCGAGCAGCGUGCCAAGGGCCGGCAAGCCAGCAGUGCCGGUGAGGCCAAGCACAGCGGGCUUGGGAGAGACGCCAGGAGGUGUGAUGACAGAGGGCAUCGUCAGGGCCGGCCGGGCGCCGAAGAGGGCAGCCGGUGCUGACACCGAGCGGCUGCAGGGCAGCGCCCAGCGGCGAAGUGGAGGCUACCGAAGGAGUAGAAGCCGCACGUGGCUGUGCGGGGGCACCGGGCGAAGGAACAGCCACACAUGGCAGUGCAAGCGCGCCUGGGGGUGAACCUGUAGGUGACAGAAGGGGUGCUGGACCGAUAGGUGCUGGCACCACAUUAGUAGGCUCCAAUAAAAACUCAAACUCCUCAGAAGUGGGUGGCGAGUGGCUGCUGGGAAAAGGGAAACGAAGUCUCGUCGAAGACCACAUGCUGAGAGAUGAUGACUCGGUUGGAGGAGAGAUCAAGACAGCGGUAACCUUUAUGAUGAGCAGAAUAGCCAAGGAAGAUGCACAAAGUGGAACAAGGAGCAAGUUUGUGGGCUGCAGUAGCGGAAAGAUUAGGAUAACAAGUGCAACCGAAAACACGAAGGUGAUCAUAGGAAGGCUGGGCGCCAAACAAAGCCAUGUGUGGCGUCCAAGUGUUUUGGAAGGCAAGAUGUUAAGCAGAUGUGUGGCAGUAUGCAGUGACUCAACCCAAUAAGAAGGGGACAUACUAGCCUGGAACAGGAGAGCGAACAACAUUGCUGAUGCUCCGAAUCAUGCGCUCAGCCCGACCGUUCUGGGACGAGGUGUAUGGGUAGGACAUGCGCAGGUGGACGCCGUGAGUGAGGAAGAAAGUGCGGGUACUAGAGUUGUCAAACUCGUGGCCGUUGUCGCACUGAACAGCUUUCACAGUGGCGCCAAAUUGAGUACGCACAUAGGAGAAAAAGUUAGUCGAAGUUCCAAACGUGUCGGAUUUUAGGCGUAAGGGAAACGUCCACAAGUAAUGAGAGCAGUCAUCAAGAAUGAGCAAAUAGUAGUUGUAUCCAGACACACUAAGAACAGGAGACGUCCACAAAUCAGUGUAUGAGAUCAAAAUUGCUAGACCCUUGAGAUGCUGAUGACUGAAAAGGCAAACGAGUAUGACGCUCCAACUGGCACGCAUGACAAAUGGGACUGAGGUCUUUAUUACGAAAAUGAACUGCAGAAGCAACUUUGGACAAAACUUUAUGACCGGGAUGACCAAGACGGCGAUGCCACACCGACGGGUUGGAGACAGCGGCGAGGGCGUGAGCAGUAGGAAAGCGAAAGGGGUACAGCGGCCGAGAGCUAUUGCACCUGACGAUCAGCCUCCGAGACUCCAGAGCCUUCACAGAACAGCUAGCGGGAUCAAAUUCGACAGAACAAUUGUUAUCAGAGGUGAACUGGCGAACAGAAAUAAGAUUCUUAAUAAGCUUAGGUGAAACUAGAACGUUAUUAAGAGAUAAUGAACCGGGAAGGUGAGCUGCGCCAGUAGCUGUGAUGGGAAGCAAGGAGCCGUCAUCGACAACAAUGGACGAAGGAAAAGGAUACCACGGGUAAGAUGAAUAUGAAAGAGUACCAGCGUCUGAAGUUAUACCGGAGGUGGCACCUGAGUCGAGAUACGAGUCGUUUGCCUACGGUUGGUGGAGCGUCAUGGGGCUGAACGUCGAGGCUAGUGAUUGCUGAUCCCAGGAGGAAGGCAGGUCCGUCAUGGGGUUGUAGAUACCCGGAGGAACCUGAGGCGCCUGCUGCCCCAGGUAGGGCGCCUGCAGGCCGUGCUGUUGCGCCUGCUGCUGAGUGAGGAAGGCCUGCUGCUGUGCUAAAAGAGGUGCGACGGGCUAGAGGGGGGCUGCUGCCGUGGACCUGGGUACAUCUGGAUUGUACCCGUCCACGGGUUCCAGAAGGAGGGCUAGGGGCUGCCGACCUCCUGUGCCGUGCCUGGAGCAGGAGCAUGGGCUUUGGAGUUGUGGCCGGCAGGGGCCUUGCCACCACCACCCUGGCGCGGCUGGCCACCGUGCUGCUGGAGGACCCGGAGUUCCCUCCCUUGCCACCCCCUUUGCCGCCCCCGAAAUUGUUGCUAGUCCGACCAGCAGAUUGGUGGGAGGAGCCAGGGACGUGCGAGGAGGAGGAAGCUUGAGGCUGGUGCUGGUGAGGAGCGCCGUAGACGGAGUCGAAGCAAGAUUCACCAUCGCGAGCCUCCAGGAAGGUGCGGAGAGGCCGGCUGCGCCUAAUGUCGCGGCCAACGGCGGCGAACUUCUCGUUGAGCCCGCGGAUGAUGCUGAGGAUGAGGGUGCGGUCGGAGGGCAUCCGCCAUGCCCUUGAAGCGCCUGCAGUAAUCUGUGAUGGACAGAUCGCCUUGGACAAAGUUGCGGAACUAGGCGUCAAGGUAGAGGGCCCGUGUCUCCCGGUUGCCGAGAAACUGGGUCUUGCUGGCAAGCCAGGUGGCACAAGCGGUGGCACCACGCUCGCCACGCUCCAUGACGAUGUUGACGAGGUCGUUGGCGAUGGUGCCGUAGAGCCAAGACCGAACGGCGCAGUCCAUGCGCCCCAAAUCUAGAGAGGCCAGAGCAGCACGUCACGAAGUACAUUGGUCCUGCAGGGAGUACUUGCCGACGGUGAGGAGGAACUACUCGCGCCACCGUGUGUAGUUGCCGGAGGCGAUGUCGAGGACAACGGGGAUGAGACUUCGGAUAUCCUAUACAGCAACGGCUUAGGCGUGCAGAUUCAAGACGGCAUCAGCUUCGUGCAGGAGCAAGGCUUGAUGGGCGUCGUUGGGCGCCUGAUCGGAGACGGAAGAGGCAUCGGCGGCGGCGUCCUUCUCAGAGUCAGGCGGGGCACCCUUGCGCUCCUCGACGGCGCGCGCCAGGGCGUCGCGGAGGCGAGCAGCAGCGGCGUCGCGCUCCUGCACAACGGCUGCGUUCUCUUCCUCAGCCUUGACGGCGCAGGUGAGGGUAGCGGCACGCGCAGACUUGCACGUCUGGCGCUCUUUUUCAGUGCGUUUGGUGGGCUCGGCAUCCGUGCCGUCGCGCUUGGUAUUGGCGGCGGAAGUCUUGGUGGUGGCGAGCGGCAGGGAGCCGACCAUGGGCGUAGCGUGAAGGACGCGUGCGGGGUUAGCUACGCCGGCUAGGGCGCACUAGGUUGCGGAAGCAAGAACAGGAGAAACCCGGACUCGUGAUACCAUGAGAGCAAUAGAGAUUGCGUGGAAUAAUAGAUUGAUUAGGGUAUACAAGGUGUACAAAUAUAUAGGCAGCCCUUGGGAGAGGUUUAUAGAAUCAUAAUCAAUCAAAGGAUAACCUACCUAUCCUAAUCUAUCUAGGCACAGCAGGGAGCCAGCCUGGGCCUUGGCGUGGUACACACCAGGCCCAUACACGCACAUAGCACAUACAUAUCUAACACCUGGCACUAUUUAUCCUUCAAUAAAUUUACACAUGCAACUAAAAUAUUCAGCAUAAUAGAAGAAUUUAAGACUGAAAAUAUAAUCCCCUUUAGACUGAAAAUACGAUCCCUCCGUUUUUAUUUAUAGGGCACACACGCAUAUCAAGAUUCAAACUUUGCAAUCUUUGACCAACAAUUUGACUAUUAAUUUUUUAUUUUUAUAAUGUAAAUUUUAUACGGUUGGAUUCAUAAUCAAAUAUACUCUACAAUGAUUAACCGUAAACAAUAUAAGAUAAGAUAAAUAAAUGGUCAAAGUGUUAUUUGGAAGACCGUGCUAAGUAAUACCAUGCCUUAUAAACAUAGAUGGAGGGAGUAUAAUGUUACCUACAAAUGAACUAAUCUGCAAAGGUGACUGUGGACUUACAAAAUUCAAAGAAUCAAGUAUCGAAUAAGCACUAUGGCUAUAAAUCUUUUAGGCCAUGGCAUUAUUAUAACUGCCAGAAUCAACAUGAUUACUUUCGUACAACUGAGAAUCAAACUCUUCUCCACAUUUGCUAGUAAAUGUGUAUUUCAGACAUUGGAAAAGAAAGGUAUGAAUUGUCUGCGGAAUCAACCUUGCCUGAGAUUCCAGCUUUUCCUUUACUUCUUGAGCUUUUGCUGGGAGCGGGAUUAUGACUGUUCCCUUCAGCCUGAAAGAUGGCACUACUGUUAACAAUAUUUGAGUACAUAACAACAAGAUAUACAGAACAAAAAACUAGAAGUUGGUUUUGUGUAUCCUUCAAUAAAUUUACAAAUGGAAUCAAAGCACAUGGAAUAGAAGAACAUAUAACACUUAUAGUGCAGUUUAGUUCUUGCCAACAACUGAUUCUGUAUAAAAUAACUUGUACACUUAUAAAAAUCACAGAUUCACUGGAACAAACGCAUUGACAUCAUUAUUUUUCAGGCUUCGAUUAUGGGCCUCGCAGCAAAUGCUUGCACAGAGAAAACAGAAGUUAUAGAGCGGGGAAAAAACAAAAAUCAAAGACAACGCAGAAUGCAAGGAAAUACUAUUUAUUCAAUGAUCUUAUGAAUAACCAUGAGACAGAAAUCCAUGCCUUACGAUCUCUGAGAGCAGCACACCGCGUAUUUUUGAACCAUUUAUCAAUCUGCAAAUGGAUGGCAGACAUUGGUUACUGACGCUGGAGACAUUUUCAGAAAAAGCAAGUUGAUAAUCAUUCUAUACUUCUUAGAUGCUCUGCCCAACACAUAUUGUUAAAUUAAAAGAGUGACAACUGUGAUAUGGACUAGAGUAUCUGACUUUAAUUAUGAAUGGUAUUUAUAGCAUUACUAUAACAAAAGAGUGGAACAUAAUCUGGUAACACAGGGUAUUUGAACAGCAGAAAGCAACUUUCAGGUGAAUAAAUCAAUAAACACAUAAGAGUAAUAAAGAACACAGAGCUGUCAAAAUUGAUCUGAUCAAAUCCUACGUACCUUUUCGAAAGAAAUGUCCAAUUCUCUUGAGAGAUUUUCUUUGACAUCUCGGGGUGGGAGCUCAUUUUCAGCAAAAGAUUUGCGAAGCACCUAAUUUAGGAAGGUGAAGGACAGAUGAUAUUAAUGACACACAAGCGUGAACAGGACAAAAAUGACAGUUCCACAGUAGCAAGCAUAAUAAGCUAGUUUUAACUCCAAUUACAGCCAUGAGUUUGCCUUGUAUCACAGCAUAUACAAAUGCGAAUCAUAAUAUGCAUAUAUAAAGAGGUCUAUCAAUUUAUAAAGGUCAUUAAAACUUUCAUAUACCUCGACUGCCGUGGGAGGAAUCCUGAAGAGUUUUCUCCCCUUCUUCUCAGUCUUUUCAUCAGAUAUAACAUUCGAGAAACCAUCAACAGAAUUAUCCUGUACACUGGCUGCACGUGUUCUUCUUUUCUUUCUUCUGUCAUGACCCCAAUCUUCAUCCUCACUCUGUUCUUCAUUCUCAAUUAUUUUUCCAAACAUUUCCUAUGCAGGGUGAAAGGUAAUCAACAUUCCAGCCCGUUGGGCUAACUUAUUGCCGCAAAUCAACAUUUACUUUGUGAAGGUUCAACUUGUACAUAAUAUUUCUAAGAAAAAUGUUUUAAAUUGCAGAACUGGUAGCAAUAAUUUUACUGGUGAAACAUACCUCAUUAAGUCUUCUAUAAUCAACAUCUCUUCUUGGCCUUUGGUAGGUAAGGAUCUGUGCACCAUCAUCUUCACCAGAGUCUAUGCCUAAGUCUAAAUUGGCAUGACAUAACCCUUCAACGUCAUUGAAGUCUGCUGAUAUGAAGUCCGGAAUAUCAUCAUUUGGUGAAUAAAGUGGACUUCCUGAACCAUUGGAAUCAUCAGACAUAAUUUCUUCCCCACUGUUCAUGCAGCUGCUGCUGGCCUCAUUUUCUUCAGGAUCAUAGUCCUCAUCACCUGAAUACUCAGAAAGCCAAUCUUCAUCUAGUGCAUCCUCAGAGUCUAUUUGUUCCGUUGCUUCCUUGAAAACAUCCUAUAGAAAGCAAGUAGAGUUGACAAUUGACAGAAAUAGGAUAGAAUUGCUAGAGUAAAAUGAUCAUAGCAUAGGUGCAGAAAUGUUAAAGACUCACUUCAAAAUGGCACUUCACUGUAAAAUUUGUUCCUAGAUGUGCAUUAAUAGCUUCUAAAAUUUUCACCUUGCACAAACAGAAUUUGCAAAGCCAACCAUGGCUACUUGUUGGAAGAGCUGAGAAAAGCACAAGACAGAUAUACAUAUUAAUGGUAAAAUAAUUAGUAACGCAAUAUCUGAGUAAAAAUAAACUAACAGGUCUCUGUGUAUUUCCGAUGAGGAGCAAAAACUACAGCAGGCUGCAGGCAACACAAAAAAGUACUGAAGUACAAUACCAUCAGAACAGCAUCUGUACUUUUUAUGCAUGUCAUUGCAACCUAGAUUAUAUGACCAAGCAUUAAAUUACAUCACUUUUUGAUUUUAUCCUGAGGAAGGUGAACAAGAUUUUAGGUACACAUCCUCUCAUGCACAAAGUAAAAAAGCUGUGUGAAUAGAAUGGCUCGUUUAUUUUGAUGUGUCUGAGCAAAACGGUUACCCAUCAACUGGGUUUAAAAUGGAAAACUUAACCUUCUAAAUUUUCCCUGUCAGCAAACAAAAUAGACACUGUUUUGCCAUAAAUGUGUAACUAUUUUAUCACACUGAGUGCAUAAAACAGCAUGAAAGGCAUGUAAACAAGUACGGGACCGCAUAUUCGGAAGGAAAAAUAGAAAUUAUUACCACUUUUUUCUAAAGGAGGUUCCAAACAUUUCUCAUGAUAUGUCCUUUUGCAGGCCCCUUCACAGAAGAUAAUUUUAUUGUUGGGAAAUGAUUCAUGAGACUUGCAUGUUGAACACAUGAUCUAGCAAAACAAAUAUUGACAAUUCGUCAGUUGAAAGAGAGAUCCUGAGGAAAUAGAGCAUUUGAUGUUCACUUGAUGCUAUACGUACAUGUUCAGGAUCAGUACACUCAGCUGGAGGCAUCACUGGGUCAUCAAAGCUCCCAGUGGAAUUACACACAUCAAGUUGGCGAAUAACAUCACGUAUAGCAAUUUUGCAUUUUAUGAUCUGCUUCUUGGCACGCUGCAGUUCCUUCUCUGGUUUUAUUUUCUCUCGGCUGAUUGGAAAGGUGCACUUAAUCAGCGUACUAUUUACUAUCAUACCUAUUUUGCUGUACUAACACAUAAAAGCAACUGAGCAAGGAAAGUAAUGUGGUGGGGCUGAUUUAAGGACAGUAAUAUGACCAGUUAACAUGAUUCUAUCCAAAUAAUAGACAGGGCGGUGGGAGGGGUGGGGGGGUUGGAGUACUUUCGCUAGCCCAUGCCAACAAAAGGUACUGCACUGAUCUUGUGAAACAGAAUUCAAUCACAUAAGUCCAAAAGUCUACUUCCAACAAAUUAAGACAGAUCAGUAUUAUUCCUAGACUUCAAAAUGCCAGAAGCAAGUGAACUUGUGAUCUUACUAUAAUUAAGAAAUUUUAAUUGCUUAAAGCACGUUGUUGUCGUAUUGUCCACGUGCAGCUAUUCUUCUUGGGUGGUAAUAAAUCCCAUAUAUAUUAGUUCCAAAACAAAUUGGCAUCUUGUUGGCUUCAAGCCUUAAAUGUCUAUUCAAACAUGAUAACAUUAUUGAGGUUCCUGUUUUAAAUGAAAAAUGCAUUUACUCUAGUUGUAUACAUAGAUCUGAAAAUCUUCUUUCACCAAUAGGUCACAGCAGUUAGAGCGCAGUGUGCACCUUUGCCCAUUCCAUCCAUCUCCAGAGUAAGCAUCUAGUAAGUUCUGCUCCAAUUUUAUCUUGAUUAGAAAAUAUCUCGCUCUUCGUUCCAAGCGAGUUGCUUCAUCAGUAUUUUGCCGCUUUCUUUUCUUCCUCCUCCUCGCAACUAAUCCUGUUACAACUUUCCCAGCAACAGAAUCUGAACCCCUCCGACGUUUCAGAGGACUACAAUGAUAUUUAUUCUUUAUGCUUUUUGCCAAAGUAGCAUUCCUAACUUUCCUUGGUGACCUCUUCAGAGGAGAAUCAUGUUUACAUUGGCGGGAAGCAUUACGUCGACUUGGCCUGUUUGAUACAGGAACCAACUCCGAAGAGGUCUCUUUCCUCCUUUUUGAUGAUCUCCCUGAGUUGGAGCACACCGUUUUAUUUUCUGAAGAACGCAUAACUAGUGAUGGUGAUUAUCAAAGGGGACGAAGACCUAAUACAAUAAAAAGAUAUGUCAAAUACGAGAUAGGCAUGGUAAGAAGCAACAGGAAAAUUUUAAUUUAAAAGUAACAGCAACAUAGCAUGAUAAGCAGAUUGCUAUAGCAUGUCAUUAUUUAGCACAAAGCUAUGGUGAUCUCAACUACCUAUUUUUCUUAGGCAUGCCAUCUAAGAAAGGUUGCCAAACCAGACACAUCUACAUAAAGCGCUUGUUGGUUGGCCAGGUUCAACAAAAUAAAAUAAAAAACCGGCACUAAUCUAUAUAGGUGUUCGCAGGAACAUAUUAAAAAAACAUUGACAUGAACAUAAUACACUAUGGUUUCAGAUGAUGCACUGUAUUACUUCUCCCCAACCGUGUGUGCAAAUAGCUGCCACAAGGUGGACAGGUGAGCGCAGUACGUUUUGCACAUACCAAACCCAAUUGGACAGUCUGAAGCACAGAGUAUUGGCAAUUUCAAGUUGGUUGUUCCAAGCUGACAGUCGAAAUGGGGUCAGACUGUAUGGAGAAGAAACAUCUCUAACUCCAAAUCCAUUCGAGGCAGUAGAUCCGGACUCUACAGCACAGAAGCGAACCAGACGAAACCUACCUAAUCGACCCCCUCUUCAGAAACGCUAACCAGCAAACCAAAUUGCAGAGCAGAGGGGGAGAGAGGCGGGGGAGUGGAGGCGAAAUGGGGUUUCAGACAGCGUAGGCUCGGGCCGCGACGUACAAGUACAAUGGCACCGGCGACGGAGCCGCAGACGGCGACUAGCCCGAGGACGCGGGGCGCGCCGACCACACCGGCCCACCCGCCCGCCCGCUCAGAUGCGGGGAGCGCGGCCGGCCACGGCGGGCGCUGGAGGCCGGAGGCAGCCGACGGAGCUCGGGGCGGAGGAGACGGCGCUAGGGCAUGGCGGCGGCGGUUGCUUGUGGGGGAAGGAGAGCGGAGCGGCGGUGUGAACGGGAAGGCGGAGGCGGAGGCGGCGUCGCUGCUGCUGCGAGCGAAUUGAAGAGGACACGGAAACGGAGGAGGCGGGGAGGGGAGGGGGGGCAGCCCGGCAGGAAUGACGCGUCGCCUCAGUUUCUCUGCGCCCCGGCCGUUGACGCCCGGGGCAGAGGACGGACGGGCGGGAUGGUCGGGAGCGGGCGAUCGGACGGCCGGGGCAACCUUGGAUGCUGCGACAAUUAUUGCUCCGUCACUCGUCAGUCAAUGGCAGGCAAGGAUGGAUUCGAAUUAUUAUUAUUAUUACAUUUUUCUAAAAAAGCAUUUAUUUUCCUUUGAUGGUGAAAUCGUUGGUAAUUUGAAGUAAAAUCAACCAAAUCAAGGGAAGUUUGCAGUGAAGUCGCCCAACUUUUAGCGAGCUCGGACACCGAUGAACUUGGGAUCCUUCGUGCCAUUCACAGCAGUAACCAAUUGGGAAAUGGCCAUUUGAAAUUCUGCCCCUAAAUUUUGAAUGAAACAUUUAUUUAAAUUAAAAACAAACUGCCCGGACCCGGCCUGGCUUUUUCUUUUUUACCGAAAAACUCAGGAAUUUGGAUUAGUUGUACAGGCUACACCUUCUCAAAAACAAGUUGAUAAACACUACGUGGAAAUGAGGACACAAAGCUCCUAGAGUAGAACAAUGUAACACAGUAUCGUCUUUGCAAUUUUACAUAUUUCCUCUAUAAAACAAUCACUGCAUGAUGUUACACCGAUGAACACAGAUCACAUAUGGGCUUAACAAUAGAUGUCUGUUCAGAGUGAAUUAUCAGCCGCCAGCUAUCUCAAGUCCUCAACAGCCAAACAAAUAGACGUGCAUCAUUUCUUCGCUUUCCUAGUUCUCUUCGCAGGUUGGGUUUUCCUUGCGCCCUUUUUAGGGGCCUUCCCUGCAACCUUUGCCUUCUUCGGUGCCUUCCCCUGCAUGUCACAGGAAUCGGUUAGGGCUUCCAUCAGGAGCACUUUGAUGUCGAGAUGCGAACUAUUAAUUGUAAAGAAGGUUUCAUACUUCCAUAAUUGGUAAUCCCUGAGAAUAGCAGCACACUAGCACUAAAGAAGAUAUACACAAGCAAAACCUGGAGUCAAUGCCAUCUUUCCCUACCAGAUUCAUCGCAAACUUGUUGGUAGCACGUUCUCUACAUCUUUGGUAAUGAUUCUGUGAAAUUACUACUUCAUUGAACAUUUGAACAGCAAGGAAGCCUAAGGAAACAGGAAGGCCAGUGCUAAUUGCUAAAGGCUUGUGCAAUUUCAUGAUAAUAACCCGUAAAGCAGCAGUGCAAAGGACAUGAUAACAAGAUAUGCACAAGUGCACAAGCAUGUUAAUAAUUAAACCUUCAAAUGCCCCUCGUAAAAUUGCAGUCUGGAACUAAACACCUCUAAUUCAGAAUUCCCAAUCACUACAAGUCUGGAACACUUUAAUGGACAUCUUCUGUACAUAACAAAAUCCCAGAAACUAGCUACAGAUAAUUAGGUUAUUUUUUUCCUCGAAUGCUCACAUAAUUGGGUUAUAACAAGUUAGUUAUCAACUAAAGUGGAGGCAGGAAAACGUACCACUUGUUUCUCAGCUUUUCUUUUGGUUUUCGCCUUAGGUUGACCAUCAUCUUCAUUAUUCGGAUCAUUUUGAUAGGCCUGUGAUUCAGGAAGCUUAUCACCCUCCUCAUCUGAAUCAAAUGUGAAUCCAUCAAGGGUACCUAUACAGAAGAUAGAUCCAUAAUGUUAGAGAAGAAAAAUUGAAAUACAGGCUGUCACCAUAGAAACAAUGGGUCCAUAACUUCAUGCAGAUUGUUUUUUCCUCACAGGCGCACACUAACACUAAAGCUGCACCCAAAUGCGGAAGCACCUUUAAAUAGCUCAAUCAAAGAAUGAUAGAAGCAUGCCAUAUUAACUUGCAUGGCAGCUUUGUACAUCAAAGAUGCUCUGAUCUAAAGUCUAUAAUUAUGCUAACCUUCCAUCAUAGUCUCCGAUUCAAAUAAAUUGGACGGUGGUUCCAGUUGAAUGAAGUCAUUCAUUAUAGCCUCUAUCUGCACAGGAAAAACAGGGGAUGCAUUAUGAUAAACAGUUGCCUUGGAAUAAAAGUGACAUAGAAAAAUGGAAUACAUAAAAAAAAUGUAUAGUUGGAGAUUGCACAUUAGACACUCGAAUUUAUGACGUGUAAACUGAUAUGGUGGAUAACACUAAUAUGCUUAUAAAUUUAUUUAAUGGUUUACGAACCUUUGCUUCUGAUUGUCCCACACUCACCUGAAAGAGGAAAUGCACCAAGGAUUAAAGCCUAACUCCUAAUAAUAAAAUUGUACUUGAGUUUCAGAUAUAACUUACAACACAAAAUGUCCUGGAUGGAACUAUGGUUGUUUUGUAUAUCGUUCCUGUUUCAGUAUGAAAGAAGAAAUAAUAAGCUAACUCUUGGAAUAUGCAUGUAUCAAGACAAAACAGAGCUGGUUUUCAAAUGCUUUAGCUGAGCUUUAGUACAGAUAUCUUGCCUGGGAUUUCCUACCAUAGAUUAGAAUUCGGAAAGCCAAUGAAGUAUCUAAUGUGAAAGUUACUUGAUGGUACCUUUCAGAUCCAAUAACAAAUCCUGACUUCCAGUAGGACCGUUUGAAACUACUAUCCUCCCAACAGCACCAAUAUCUCCACUCAAAUCUAUCGAGUCACCAUCACAUUCAAUCAAUGCCUAGAAAAACAAUCAAAUACACAGAACAAAGGAUUAUUAACUAAAGUAGAUAUUAAUAAAAUAAAUUGUUGGAUAAUAUAGUUGGGAGUUUCCAGGUAAUAGCUUCACUAAGUUAUUUUCCAGAAGUCCAAUUGCCGAUAGUUCAGCUUUACAACAUAGUCACAUGUAUACAAUUCAGAAAUUUUAAACUAACCCAUGCUCUUGUUCUUAAGUCAUUAUUUGCUAUGAUUGGACACACACAGUAUCGUAAAAAACAGUACCCAUGUCAAAUCUCCUGACUGUACUUCCGUUGAUUAAAAAUUUAUUUUUGCUAAGCAGACAUUUUUUCCAUGAAGAAAACAGAAGAGGGGUGGGGGAGGACAACAGGCUUGUUGAAAGCAUUUGGUUGCAAGCAUAAUUUUUUUAAUGAGCAGUGUUCACAUAGGCAGAGGCACGGAGCACUAAUUCCUGCAAGAGUUGAUCAUACCUUUGAACGUUGAACUUUAUCGGGAAACAUUAAUGGUAACCUCUGGGAGACCUGGCAUUUUAGAAAAAGAAACAUAUACUCAAUCAAAAGGCUGCAGAAACAUAAUUUGAAAUAAUCACACAGAAAGGUACAAGCUGUUUUUUUCCCUUCUAUUCUUUUUUCUUUGGUAAACGCCCCUCAAGUUUAUCAUCCAAAAUAUCACGGGGGUGAAAAUGCAUAAAGUAGAGAGGGGUGAGUAAGACAUCUUACAGAGUUUCCUGUAAGUUUAUCUUGCAUUUCAUCCUCAGCAACUCCCUCUUGAUGUUCCAAUGCGUCUAUGUUGGACCAUGAAACAGUAAGUACAUGUUAUUCAUAAAUCUGACUUUUAAGCUGGUAACUAAAAUGGCAGCCACACUAAAAUGUCUUACCACCUAUUUGGUCUGGAUCAGAUUUUGCUCCCACAACCUUUGGUUUUUUAUGCUUAGUUUCUUGAACCCCUUUUCUCCUGGGAGUGCUAUGUGAGUCCUCUUCAUGAUUAGCAUCACCAGCCCUUGAAGGGCUGUUUCCAGGGGAAGCAUCAGAACCAGAUGAAAGUGUAAACACAUCCUUCUUUGGAGUCUAUAAAAAGAAUAGGUACAACAAUUAAUUGCAAAACUACAGCACUAGUGUCUGCACCUAGUAUGUUGUAAACUUGUAUGAAGUUAAAUUAAACAUAAGAGUUGCAAUAUCUGAUCACUAGUAACACCAUAAAAAUUGAAUAUUCCAAAGAUAAGGUCCAAACUAAUAGUUGCCACAAAGGAACCGGAACUGAUAAUCUGUGCACGAAAAAGGUGCAUGCUCAACUGUAUCGAUGGCAAAUCUUACUAGUACAAUCUGCAGAUCAAAAGAAUACCAGCCUGGAUAGCAAUAUAACAUGAAUUGAAGCUAGGGAAUUCAAACAUCUAAAUCCAUACCGAGCGCCUAGUAGUGACAUCUCGUUUUUCAUCUGUGGUUGGUCCUUCUGCAUGUUUGCCAAAAGAAUCUAUAAGCAAAUAUGUGGAACAACUGGAUUAUAAUUUUAAUGAGAAGCACUCGCUACUUCAUAAUUUUAUUGCACUAAGUAAACAGGUCAACCAGAUCUACCUUUUUUACUACUAAGAGUUUUUCUUCUAGCAAAUGUCAGAGUCUUGCGCUUGUUUUGUGCAGGGUCUUCUCUAUCACCUGCAUGAUCUGAACUAGCCUGCUUUUCUCCAUUUCCUUGUUCUCUAGAUGAAGUGGUCCUGGUAGGACUAGCUUCAGGAGAAGCAUCAGACCCAGAAGAAAGCAUCACUGGCGCCGUACUUGGUGCCUAUACCAUAAAAGAAGAAAGAAAAAUUCAAAUCCAUGUAGUAACUGCUUAUUGCUACAUAAUAACUUAUACGAAGAGAUGAUUUUGGAACAAAAAAAAUUUGGAAAGCUAAUGUAAAGACAGAAGUAAGAGUAGCCAAUGAAUACUGCAAGAACAAGGUACUAAGAAUGGCGAGAAUGACAUUUGGCACUACUGAUGGAGUUCUGACAUUUAUUGACCCAAAAGGUUCUACAAGCUCCCCUUACAAAAACAUUCACCAACCUCCAUAGACCUACACUGUGGAUCUGGAAAUCAAAUUGCUAAAACAAGCUCAAGGUUUUCAUGUGGCUUCUCAGUAUUGACAGACUCAAUACAAGAAAUUUGCUUAGAAGGGGAUACAAAUAUACAAUAUUGUGCAGCGCAAAUAGUGAAGUUUUUUUAAAAUGGAUAUUGGAGAAUUCAACCUCAAUUCGUAGCUUCAGUAUUAUAUGCUGGAACUACACUGUAAUAAUUUGGGACACAAAGCUAAAUUUCCUCAACAUGAUGGUCAAAGGGAAAAAUAAUUCACCAACCCUACUUCAUGGAAAUUGUCACAAAUGCAGCUUGGCGUAUUUGGAAGCAAAGAAAUCGAUUAAUCUUUGAAGGACGACAACGAAAUUUUUAUAUCUGGAAAAGGAGCUUCAACUUCAAGGAUGAAAUCCUCCAAUUACACAGGAAUAGAAGAAAGCGUUAGAUGUUCUCUCUUUUCUUGAGUGGAGUCUCUUGUGUAAAUGUUUUUUAGAUCUUUAGUUUUCUUUCAUUUGUUUUUCUCCCUUUUAUUUUUCCUUGUACAAUCCUCUUAUUUGUUUGUAUUUAUAUGAUAUAUAUCUAGCAUAGGGAUCUAUCCUACUGUAUUUCUUUAGAGAAAAAGGAAUGAAAAAGGUGCUGACUAUCUUAUAGCCACUGUCACGAAUUUGUGACAUAGAAACUACCAUAGCACCAUUCACGACAUUGCUUGGUGCUAUCAUAGGUGGACGGCUACUGUUUAACAGAAAACACAACCAUAGCUGCAUACAGACUUGUCCUGAUACAAACUCACAAAUAUCAAUUCGAAAACGAAACGGCCUACAGCUCAAUCCUACGAGGAACAGGAAGAACAAGAACUUUCUUGAGGAGGGCAUGGACAGUUUACGGCACAGGAAGUGCCAAUUAUCAGCAUGCACAGAUCAAUGCUAGUUCGACACCAGUUUGCUUCUGAUGUGUGAAGCUGAAGCCGCACAUUUAAUUUUGACCACGAUAUGAGUGACUAAACAAGAGGUUAGCACUUAGCACUCAGAGGAUGAAAACUCUUUUCACCCAUCGGGGUUCUGGGUUCAGUACCGUCUGACCUAAUUCGCAAGAAGUUCACACUUCACAAACAAUUGCGCGACACUAAAAGCUAAAGUUUAUCCAGAACAGCUGCUCCCUCUUGCAAAAAGAAAUUUCUCUUGUCCCCGGCAGUAGCCACUCCAAGAUUUAGCCGCGGAGGGUACAAGAGAUACUCCAAAGCAGGAUGGUACCUGAAACGCGGUGAGCCAGUCGGGGUCUUCGUCUUCCUCCCCCAUUCUAACCGCUGGUGGCGCCCAGUAGCUUCGUGGGGAGAUCACGGCGCCGCCGCCGCUCGUCGGCUAUGGCCGCUGUGGGGGUAAGCGCGUAGACGGGGAAAGUCGGAAGAAGCGAGGACGAGGGAGGGAGAGGGCACGGGCUGAGGGUUUAGGGACCCGCGCCCGCGAGGGCAAACCCUGUACCCGUCCCCGCGCCCGCCGCCCGUCACGGUUAAGAAGUUGUGCCCGCGCCCGUCACCCGCGGGUACAGUCUACCCGCGGGCACACCCGUGCCCGCGGCGACGGGAAACCGGGCGUCAGGCGGCGGAGCGGGCGGCGGGCGAGAGGGGGGAAAGCGAGCCGAGCAUAUCAUGGGCCCGGCCCAUUGGCAGCCCAAUAGGCCAGUAGUGAGUUUUCUUUUUCUUCUUUUUAAAAUAUUUUUAUUUAGAUUUCCUUUCGAUUGAGGCUAGGCGACGACAAAGUUUGGAUCACUUGACGAAAGGAACACGGCAGCGCAGUUAUGUGCAAUGACGGGUAGCUGCAAGGAGAGACUCGGUAGUAGCAUACUCAUAGGAGAGCUCUCCAGUUGAGGUUACUAGCCCCGUAAUUAGGAGGGGGGGGGGGGGGGGGGGGGGGGGGGGGGGAUCACGCGAGUCAAAAGCCAAAAAAUGCUACUGUGCCAUCGCAUCAACGAGUCAGUUUCAGUUCUAAACAUUCCCUCGGUAAUUCCGGUACAUAGAUACAGCUGGUGGUAAAAGUAAACAGCAACACUUAACACCUUCGUGCCCCGGCAUGCAUAUCCAACUGGUAUGUCAUCACACAACCAAGCAUGCGAUUAAGUCAGCUACAACUUCUCUGAAAAGCUACAACUCUUUGAUGAACCACCGGCAAGUG
rnacentral:lncRNA from 1 species